AUGGCUCAGAACGAACGCGUGGCGGCAUGCCUAACACAUGCAAGUCGAACGAGACCUUCGGGUCUAGUGGCGCACGGGUGCGUAACGCGUGGGAAUCUGCCCUUGGUUCGGAAUAACAGCGAGAAAUUGCUGCUAAUACCGGAUAAUGACGUAAGUCCAAAGAUUUAUCGCCAAGGGAUGAGCCCGCGUAGGAUUAGCUAGUUGGUGUGGUAAAGGCGCACCAAGGCGACGAUCCUUAGCUGGUCUGAGAGGAUGAUCAGCCACACUGGGACUGAGACACGGCCCAGACUCCUACGGGAGGCAGCAGUGGGGAAUAUUGGACAAUGGGCGAAAGUCUGAUCCAGCAAUGCCGCGUGAGUGAUGAAGGCCUUAGGGUUGUAAAGCUCUUUUACCCGAGAUGAUAAUGACAGUAUCGGGAGAAUAAGCUCCGGCUAACUCCGUG
rnacentral:rRNA from 1 species